GUCAUGGCUCAGGAUGAACGCUGGCGGCGUGCCUAAUACAUGCAAGUCGAGCGAAAUGAUUUGAGAGCUGCUUUUCAAGAAGUUAGCGGCGGACGGGUGAGUAACACGUGGGUAACCUGCCCAUAAGACUGGGAUAACUCCGGGAAACCGGGGCUAAUACCGGAUAACAUUUUGAACUGCAUGGUUCGAAAUUGAAAGGCGGCUUCGGCUGUCACUUAUGGAUGGACCCGCGUCGCAUUAGCUAGUUGGUGAGGUAACGGCUCACCAAGGCAACGAUGCGUAGCCGACCUGAGAGGGUGAUCGGCCACACUG
rnacentral:rRNA from 1 species